GACGAACUGUGCAAACGUUAUUCGGAAUCACUGGGCUUAAAGGGUGCGUAGGCGGGCUGCCAAGUUUGGGGUGAAAUCCUCCGGCUCAACCGGGGAAGGGCCUCGAAUACUGGCGGUCUGGAGGGAGGUAGGGGCGUGCGGAACUGUAGGUGGAGCGGUGAAAUGCGUUGAUAUCUACAGGAACACCGGUGGCGAAGGCGGCAUCCUGGACCAACACUGACACUGAGGAGCGAAAGCCAGGGGAGCAAACGGG
rnacentral:rRNA from 1 species